GGCUGAUUCUACAAAGCAAAUAUAUAACAACUCUGCAAAGAUUUAUCUACAUGUUCAGAGAUUAUAUAAGCUGACAUCUAAAGCAAAGAGUUAUUGGCACAAAACAUAUCUCUGAAUGGAAAAUGCAAGAGCAACAGGC